rnacentral:rRNA from 1 species
GAUGAACGCUGGCGGCGUGCUUAACACAUGCAAGUCGAACGGUGAACGAGGGAGCUUGCUCCCUCCGGAUCAGUGGCGAACGGGUGAGUAACACGUGAGCAAUCUGCCCCGAACUCUGGGAUACGCGCUGGAAACGGCGUCUAAUACCGGAUACGACGCGCGAAGGCAUCUUCUGCGCGUGGAAAGAAUUUCGGUUCGGGAUGAGCCCGCGGCCUAUCAGCUAGUUGGUGAGGUAACGGCUCACCAAGGCGACGACGGGUAGCCGGCCUGAGAGGGUGACCGGCCACACUGGGACUGAGACACGGCCCAGACUCCUACGGGAGGCAGCAGUGGGGAAUAUUGCACAAUGGGCGCAAGCCUGAUGCAGCAACGCCGCGUGAGGGACGACGGCCUUCGGGUUGUAAACCUCUUUUAGUAGGGAAGAAGCGAAAGUGACGGUACCUGCAGAAAAAGCACCGGCUAACUACGUGCCAGCAGCCGCCGUAACAC